GUGCUUGCUAUGGCAGCACAUAUACUAAAAUUGGAACCAUACAGAGAAGAUUAGCAUGGCCCCUGCAAAAAGAAAAAAAAAAAAAAACACCGGUUAUUACAGCUUGGU
ensembl:snRNA RNU6-510P RNA, U6 small nuclear 510, pseudogene